UUAUCCGUCAAUAUCUCUUUCUUUCUGCUGACCCGUUGCCAAGGACAGCCGGUCUCCACCGACCAGACCACCGGACCGGUUUACCCCAGGCCAGGGGCAUUAGUCAAGAGUAAGCAAUAUGGAAAAACCCACGGGAGACGUAAAAUAUUUGGCAACAGGUCACUCAGUCUCUAGAGCCAACAAUGGCCGACACAGGUCAUCAAGAUGCUUGAAGCAGUCACGACACAACAUACACACUCAAUCACCCUUAGGAGCAGUAGAGAACUGGGGUAAAGAGCAAGAGGAAGACACACCAACGAGAUGGACAGACACCUGAAGAGACGAAAGGGAGGAAACGAUGAGGGGAGGCUGUAUAUCCCACUAGGCACCAACUGGUUGUUUCCAAUACAACAAAAUAAAUUUGAUGACGUUGAAUCAAUGUGGAAAACGUAUUGGAUUUGCAAUAAAAGUCUUCACUGUAAAGGGA